UAAUACGUAGGGUGCGAGCGUUAAUCGGAAUUACUGGGCGUAAAGCGUGCGCAGGUGGCGUCGCAAGUCAGGCGUGAAAUCCCCGGGCUUAACCUGGGAAUUGCGCUUGAAACUACGAUGCUGGAGUACGGCAGAGGGAGGUGGAAUUCCACGUGUAGCGGUGAAAUGCGUAGAGAUGUGGAGGAACACCGAUGGCGAAGGCAGCCUCCUGGGCCGAUACUGACGCUCAUGCACGAAAGCGUGGGGAGCAAACAGGAUUAGAUACCCUGGUAGUCCACGCCCUAAACGAUGUCUACUAGUUGUUGGGGGAGUUAAAUCCCUUAGUAACGCAGCUAACGCGCGAAGUAGACCGCCUGGGGAGUACGGUCGCAAGAUUAAAACUUAAAUGAAUUGACGG
rnacentral:rRNA from 1 species